ACUAGGGAUCUUGUGACCUCAAAUUUGAUGUAUCACUCGCACCUUACGAUNAAUCAAAGUCUUUGGNUUCUGGGUGGAGUAUGUUCUCAAGGCUGANACUUAAAGGNAUUGACGGAAGGGCACCACCAGGUGUGGAGCCUNCGGCUUAAUUUGACUCAACACGGGGAAACUCACCAGGUCCAGACAUAACUAGGAUUGACAGAUUGAUAGCUCUUUCAUGAUUUUAUGG
rnacentral:rRNA from 1 species